GACGAACGCUGGCGGCGUGCCUAAUACAUGCAAGUUGAGCGCUGAAGGUUGGUACUUGUACCAACUGGAUGAGCAGCGAACGGGUGAGUAACGCGUGGGGAAUCUGCCUUUGAGCGGGGGACAACAUUUGGAAACGAAUGCUAAUACCGCAUAAAAACUUUAAACACAAGUUUUAAGUUUGAAAGAUGCAAUUGCAUCACUCAAAGAUGAUCCCGCGUUGUAUUAGCUAGUUGGUGAGGUAAAGGCUCACCAAGGCGAUGAUACAUAGCCGACCUGAGAGGGUGGUCGGCCACAUUGGGACUGGGACACGGCCCAAACUCCUACGGGAGGGAGCAGUAGGGGAACUUCGGCAAUGGACGAAAGUCUGACCGAGCAACGCCGCGGGAGUGGAGAAGGGUUUCGGAUCGGAAAACUCUGUUGGUAGAGAAGAACGUUGGUGAGAGUGGAAAGCUCAUCAAGUGACGGUAACUACCCAGAAAGGGACGGCUAACUACGUG
rnacentral:rRNA from 1 species